rnacentral:rRNA from 1 species
UCCGUAGGGUGCGAGCGUUAAUCGGAAUUACUGGGCGUAAAGCGUGCGCAGGCGGUUUUGUAAGCCAGAUGUGAAAGCCCCGGGCUUAACCUGGGAAUGGCAUUUGGGACUGCAAGGCUUGAGUGCGGCAGAGGAGACUGGAAUUCCUGGUGUAGCAGUGAAAUGCGUAGAUAUCAGGAGGAAUACCGAUGGCGAAGGCAGGUCUCUGGGCUGACACUGACGCUCAUGCACGAAAGCGUGGGGAGCAAACAGG